rnacentral:rRNA from 1 species
UACGGAGGGGACUAGCGUUGUUCGGAAUUACUGGGCGUAAAGCGCACGUAGGCGGAUUUGUAAGUCAGGGGUGAAAUCCCGGGGCUCAACCUCGGAACUGCCUUUGAUACUGCAAAUCUCGAGUCCGGAAGAGGUGAGUGGAAUUCCUAGUGUAGAGGUGAAAUUCGUAGAUAUUAGGAAGAACACCGGUGGCGAAGGCGGCUGCCUGGACCGAUACUGACGCUGAGACGCGAAAGCGUGGGGAGCAAACAGG